rnacentral:misc_RNA from 1 species
CUUGCAUUAAGAAUAAGGCGACUGUGUCACACUAUCACUAGAAAUUUGUAACGACUUCAUCUGUAAAAGGAAAAGGGUAUGGCAAACAUACCAGCAAUCCUAAGAGCAAAACCAAAACUCCAAGGGCAACAUACUUUUCAUCAGGAUCAGUGAUUUCCUCAGCGAGUGGAGCAAUUGGCCCUCUUUGUAAGAAGAAUAUCAAAAAUACCCAAUAAAAUGCCACAUCAUUAAACAGU